GACGAACGCUGGCGGCGUGCUUAACACAUGCAAGUCGAACGGAAAGGCCCUGCUUUUGUGGGGUGCUCGAGUGGCGAACGGGUGAGUAACACGUGAGUAACCUGCCCUUGACUUUGGGAUAACUUCAGGAAACUGGGGCUAAUACCGGAUAGGAGCUCCUGCUGCAUGGUGGGGGUUGGAAAGUUUCGGCGGUUGGGGAUGGACUCGCGGCUUAUCAGCUUGUUGGUGGGGUAGUGGCUUACCAAGGCUUUGACGGGUAGCCGGCCUGAGAGGGUGACCGGCCACAUUGGGACUGAGAUAUGGCCCAGACUCCUACGGGAGGCAGCAGUGGGGAAUAUUGCACAAUGGGCGGAAGCCUGAUGCAGCAACGCCGCGUGCGGGAUGACGGCCUUCGGGUUGUAAAACGCUUUCGCCUGUGACGAAGCGUGAGUGACGGUAAUGGGUAAAGAAGCACCGGCUAACUACGUG
rnacentral:rRNA from 1 species